GAAUUAGGAAUCAGUGCAUAUCAGAUUGACUCUGAUGGGCCUCUCAACAGUCUUGUCCAUCUGCAGCAACUUGAAACAUUGAGUCUUACAUAUCGUUUUGGAGGAUUUUGGCCAGCAAGUGCCAAAGCUUUUCCAGCAACGCUCAAGAAGCUGAAGUUGGAAUGAACUUUCAUAAGUUGGUCGUACUUGGACAUCAUAGCUGAAUUGCCUAACCUUGAGGUGCUGAAGCUGAUGCAUAAUGCUUGUCUUGGAGAAGAAUGGUAUCCAAAUGUUAGGGGAUUUACUCGAUUGAAGUUUUUGCUAAUUAAAGAAAUUCACACACUACAACUGAUUGAGUUAUCAUGGUGUCUUCCCAAACUUGGGGAAUCUGCAGCACGAAUUCAAAAACAACAAGAAGACCUUGGAAACAAUCUCUCAUUUACAUAAGUAUAUAGUAUUUAUCAGGGUCACACUCUAUUUCUCAUUUCCACAAGUCAAGUCGUACACAAAAGUAAUUCAGCUUUGCCCCAUAUUCUUUCACAAAAAUAACCUUGACAAAAUUUGGUUAAAAUAUCCCUUAUAUUUCACCAAAAUGUCCCCUUAAAUAUAUUUUUGAGCAAUUUUGGUACUUUAGUUUAAGCUUGCUAAAUGUGAACACAUUUGGUCUAAUUGUUACUACCUCCAUCUAUCAAUAGUUGUCCAUUAUUAACUUGAGACAUAAGUUAAGAAAUAGUAAUGAUAGGGCUAGUUUUA